rnacentral:rRNA from 1 species
UGGGGAAUAUUGCGCAAUGGGGGCAACCCUGACGCAGCAAUACCGCGUGAGUGAAGAAGGUUUUCGGAUCGUAAAGCUCUGUUAUUGGGGAAGAAAACAUGACGGUACCCAAUGAGGAAGUCCCGGCUAACUACGUGCCAGCAGCCGCGGUAAUACGUAGGGGACAAGCGUUGUCCGGAAUGACUGGGCGUAAAGGGCGCGUAGGCGGUCUAUUAAGUCUGAUGUGAAAGGUACCGGCUCAACCGGUGAAAUGCAUUGGAAACUGGUAGACUUGAGUAUUGGAGAGGCAAGUGGAAUUCCUAGUGUAGCGGUGAAAUGCGUAGAUAUUAGGAGGAACACCAGUGGCGAAGGCGGCUUGCUGGACAAAUACUGACGCUGAGGUGCGAAAGCGUGGGGAGCGAACAG